rnacentral:rRNA from 1 species
UACGUAGGGUGCAAGCGUUAAUCGGAAUUACUGGGCGUAAAGCGUGCGCAGGCGGUUAUAUAAGACAGAUGUGAAAUCCCCGGGCUCAACCUGGGAACUACAUUUGUGACUGUAUAGCUAGAGUACGGUAGAGGGGGAUGGAAUUCCGCGUGUAGCAGUGAAAUGCGUAGAUAUGCGGAGGAACACCGAUGGCGAAGGCAAUCCCCUGGACCUGUACUGACGCUCAUGCACGAAAGCGUGGGGAGCAAACAGG